rnacentral:rRNA from 1 species
CCUUCGCUCUAAGAUGAGCCUGCGUCCCAUUAGCUAGUUGGUAGGGUAAUGGCCUACCAAGGCGAUGAUGGGUAGCUGGUCUGAGAGGAUGAUCAGCCACACUGGAACUGAAACACGGUCCAGACUCCUACGGGAGGCAGCAGUGAGGAAUAUUGGGCAAUGGGCGCAAGCCUGACCCAGCCAUGCCGCGUGAAGGAUGAAUGCCCUAUGGGUUGUAAACUUCUUUUGUACGGGACGAAACUCCUGGUCGUGACCGGGAUUGACUGUACCGUGCGAAUAAGCAUCGGCUAACUCCGUGCCAGCAGCCGCGGUAAUACGGAGGAUGCAAGCGUUAUCCGGAUUCAUUGGGUUUAAAGGGUGCGUAGGCGGAAUAAUAAGUCAGUGGUGAAAGCCUGCGGCUUAACCGUAGAAAUGCCAUUGAUACUGUUAUUCUUGAGUAUAGUUGAGGUGGGCGGAAUGUGUAAUGUAGCGGUGAAAUGCUUAGAUAUUACACAGAACACCAAUUGCGAAGGCAGCUCACUAAGCUGUUACUGACGCUGAGGCACGAAAGCGUGGGGAGCAAACAGGAUUAGAUACCCUGGUAGUCCACGCCGUAAACGAUGAUCACUCGUUGUUGGCGAUACACCGUCAGCGACUGAGCGAAAGCAAUAAGUGAUCCACCUGGGGAGUACGGCGGCAACGCUGAAACUCAAAGGAAUUGACGG